rnacentral:lncRNA from 1 species
CAGAAAUGCACUGUGGACUUCCUGCUGCUUACAGGUGAUAUAUGGCUCAGCAGAACAUUUCCAAGACAAGUCACAGUCCUUCAGAGUUGCCAGGCCUUUGUCCUGAUUGGCUCCAGUUAGAGUAGAUCCCGGGGAGGCAUUCUCUCCUCCGGGAGACUGGCAUUAUAGCAACAGCGAGCUGCAGAGAGACUGACUGGGCUACAGAGACAAGAUCUGGGCCUGCCUCAGCCACAGACCAAAAGACAUGAAGACAGCACAGGCUAUGGAGAGGAGGAUCAAACGGAAACACAGAAAUCUAAAACUGAGUCUACCUGCGGGGGCGACGGCCUUCGUUGCCUGGGCUGUGUAGUAUGCUCCAGGUUUCCAGCUUUGCUGAGAUGUUACCCGUGGUGAGGAGGGCUUUGGCGACAAAUCUGUCUUUGAGCAUUUCA